rnacentral:rRNA from 1 species
CCUACGGGGGGCAGCUGUGGGGAAUAUUGCACAAUGGGCGCAAGCCUGAUGCAGCCAUGCCGCGUGUGUGAAGAAGGCCUUCGGGUUGUAAAGCACUUUCAGCGGGGAGGAAGGCGUUAAGGUUAAUAACCUUGUCGAUUGACGUUACCCGCAGAAGAAGCACCGGCUAACUCCGUGCCAGCAGCCGCGGUAAUACGGAGGGUGCAAGUGUUAAUCGGAAUUACUGGGCGUAAAGCGCACGCAGGCGGUCUGUCAAGUCGGAUGUGAAAUCCCCGGGCUCAACCUGGGAACUGCAUUCGAAACUGGCAGGCUAGAGUCUUGUAGAGGGGGGUAGAAUUCCAGGUGUAGCGGUGAAGUGCGUAGAGAUCUGGAGGAAUACCGGUGGCGAAGGCGGCCCCCUGGACAAAGACUGACGCUCAGGUGCGAAAGCGUGGGGAGCAAACAGGAUUAGAUACCCGUGUAGUC